rnacentral:rRNA from 1 species
CCCUUAGAUGUUCUGGGCCGCACGCGCGCUACAAUGAUGAAUUCAACGAGUUUAUAACCUUGGUUGAAAAGCCUGGGUAAUCUUUUGAACUUUCGUCGUGAUGGGGCUAGACCCUUGCAAUUAUUGGUCUCCAACGAGGAAUUCCUAGUAAACGCAAGUCAUCAGCUUGCAUUGAUUACGUCCCUGCCCUUUGUACACACCGCCCGUCGCACCUACCGAUUGAACGGUCCGGUGAAAUCUUGGGAUUUGCUUUGCUUUCGUUUGUUCGAUGCUCGGCGAAGAACUUGAGUAAACCUUACCGUUUAGAGGAAGGUGAAGUCGUAACA